UGUGCCAGCAGCCGCGGUAAUUCCAGCUCCAAUAGCGUAUAUUAAAGUUGUUGCNGUUAAAAGCUCGUAGUUGAAUUUCGGGGUCAUCAGGUUGGUCGUGCCAAUGGUAUGCACUGGCCUAGGUGAUCCCUCCUUCUUGAAGAACCGUGAUGCCAUUAAUUUGGUGCCGCGGGGAAACAGGACUGUUACUUUGAAAAAAUUAGAGUGUUUAAAGCAGGCUAACGCUUGAAUACAUUAGCAUGGAAUAAUAGAAUAGGACGAUCGAUCCUAAUUUUGUUGGUUUCUAGGGUUGACGUAAUGAUUAAUAGGGAUAGUUGGGGGCAUUAGUAUUCAAUUGUCAGAGGUGAAAUUCUUGGAUUUAUUGAAGACUAACUACUGCGAAAGCAUUUGCCAAGGAUGUUUUCAUUAAUCAAGAACGAAAGUUAGGGGAUCGAAGACGAUCAGAUACCGUCGUAGUCUUAACCAUAAACUAUGCCGACUAGGGAUCGGAUGAUGUUAAUUUUUUAAUGACUCAUUCGGCGCCUUACG
rnacentral:rRNA from 1 species